GCAGCUGCAGCCAGCCUGAGGGGCCGGCCAUACUGGAUUUAACUCGACCUAAUCUCCGCCCAGCCCAGAGCUUGAAGCUCUGCAUGCCUGGAAAGCUGGUUGUGGCCAGCACUGAGCUUUGGGCUCCCUCCACCAAGGUUCUCAGAGUGACCAUGUGUCCCCUACAGUUCCCUCCCCACCCAAACACUGGUCUUCAAGGCCUGGUGGGCACUUCUCUUGUCUGAGGCCAGACAGCUCCCUCUUGUCCAGCUUUGGCCCUGAGGACCUACUCAAUUGGCUACCAAGGGGACAUCAGGCCAGCAUCCCUCUGCUGAUGGGACACUCACUACCACCUCUGCCUGAGUGGACCACAUCCAUCCUGGCUCUGUGCCCAGCCACCUGGAGCAGGUGAUGGAGACCUGGGUCUGUCCUCCAGGUUGUUGUUGUUAUUGUUAGGUGCUGUCGAGUCAGUUCCGACUCAUAGCGACCCUGUACAACAGAACAAAACACUGCCUGGUCCUGCGCCAUUCUCACAAUCGUUGUCAUGCUUAAGCCCACUGUUGCAGCCACUGUGUCAAUCCAUCUCGUUGAGGAUCUUCGUCUUUUUUGCUGACGCUCUACUUUACCAAGCAUGACGUCCUUCUCCAGGCACUGGUCCCUCCUGAUAACAUGUCCAAAGUACGUGAGAUGAAGUCUCGCCAUCUUUGCUUCUAAGGAACAUUCUGGCUGUCCUUCCAAGACAGCUCGAGUCAGCCGAGGGGAGUCUGUCCCACUUGGGAUGAAGGUCGCUUUUUCUGAGAAGCCCAGGAAGAAACUCUUUGCCCGACGGUGGUGGUGGUGGAUAGGGGGAGGUGGCACUCCCAGCCCAAGCCAAAUACAACGCUGAGCAGGAAGAGUACAGAAGGUAAGGGGUUGAAAAAGGAGAAAUGUCCUGAGCAUGCAAAUGUGGGCCGUGGGGCGAAACUAAGGCAGGAAAGAGAGAGGCAGAAAG